rfam:Dipodomys ordii contig_94390, whole genome shotgun sequence.
UGGCUCAAUGGUAGAGUGCUUGCCUUGCAUGCAUGAGACCCUGGGUUCGAUUCCUCAG